rnacentral:rRNA from 1 species
GACGAACGCUGGCGGCGUGCCUAAUACAUGCAAGUUGAGCGCUGAAGGUUGGUACUUGUACCAACUUGUUGAGCAGCUAACGGGUGAGUAACGCGUGGUGAAUCUGCCUUUGAGCGGGGGACAACAUUUGGAAACGAAUGCUAAUACCGCAUAAAAACUUUAAACACAAGUUUUAAGUUUUAAAGAUGCAAUUGCAUCACUCAAAGAUGAUCCCUCGUUGUUUUAUCUAGUUGGUGAGGUAAAGGCUCACCAAGGCGAUGAUACAUAGCCGACCUGAGAGGGUGAUAGGCAAAAAUGGGACUGAGAAAAGGCAAAAAAGAAUAAGGGAGGCAGCAGUAGGGAAACUUCGGAAAAGGAGGAAAGUCAGACCGAGAAAAGCCGCGGGAGGGAAGAAGGUUGUCGGAUCGUAAAAAUCUGUUGGUAGAGAAGAAAGUUGGUGAGAGUGGAAAGCGCAUCAAGUGACGGUAACUACACAGAAAGGGACGGCUAACUACGUG